GGAUCGGUGGCUGAGUGGUCGAAAGCACUCCUUUGCUAAAGGAACGUACCUCAAAAGGGUACCGAGGGUUCGAAUCCCUCCCGGUCCGCCA
rnacentral:tRNA from 1 species